ACUCCUGAGAUGGUGAAGAAGGCCGUCUUCCCUGCCUCGAACCUCAGGCUGCAGUGGUCAUCGGAGGCCAGCGGCUUCUCGUUCUUCAGCCAGGACACCUCAGGGGUUGGGUCGCCCCACACAUUGCAACUCCCUGGACCCCUUCCGGCCUGUGCUGGUGCUGAGGUGAUUGGCCCAAAGGCAUCCUCAGUAAAAUCUCACCGGCCCUGUUGAAACUCUUCUAAAACACCGGCAUUCGGCUGCACUUUGACUUGGCCUUACCAAGAAAAGGAAAGACUCACAUGGAACUCUGAGAAGCACCCCAGAGGCUUGCGUUAGUGUGUGAGAUGGCUCUGUUUGACGGAAAGAAGAGUACAAGCCAGAGAAGUGGCUCAGUGGGUAAAGAUGCUUGCUGCCAAACUGGGUGACCCAAGUUCAACUUACCCCCCCAGUACCACACUGCGGAAGAACGGAGAGCUGCGAGUGGUGCUUUGUGCUCUGGCUGCCACAUACACGCUAUGGCACGUCCUCCAAUAAGUAAACAUGUGCAUAUAAUAAUUUUUAAAUGAGUCAAAUCAUUGUCAUUCAAUGUAUCUGAACAG